GUGUGUGUAUAUAAUGCAGUGUGUUUGUGUAGUGUGCAUUAUAUAAACACACUACACAAACACACUGAAUUAUAUACACAAACUA